rnacentral:rRNA from 1 species
AACGAACGCUGGCGGCAUGCCUAAUACAUGCAAGUCGAACGAUCACUUCGGUGGUAGUGGCGCACGGGUGCGUAACGCGUGGGAAUCUGCCCUUGGGUUCGGAAUAACAGCUGGAAACGGCUGCUAAUACCGGAUGAUGACGUAAGUCCAAAGAUUUAUCGCCCAGGGAUGAGCCCGCGUAGGAUUAGCUAGUUGGUGGGGUAAAGGCUUACCAAGGCGACGAUCCUUAGCUGGUCUGAGAGGAUGAUCAGCCACACUGGGACUGAGACACGGCCCAGACUCCUACGGGAGGCAGCAGUAGGGAAUAUUGGACAAUGGGGGCAACCCUGAUCCAGCAAUGCCGCGUGAGUGAUGGAGGCCUUAGGGUUGUAUAGCUCUUUUACCCGGGAUGAUAAUGACAGUACCGGGAGAAUAAGCCCCGGCUAACUCCGUGCCAGCCGCCGCAGUAA